rnacentral:rRNA from 1 species
GACAGAGGGUGCAAACGUUGUCCGGAAUUAUUGGGCGUAAAGGGCUCGUAGGCGGUUUGUCGCGUCGGGAGUGAAAACACCGGGCUUAACUCGGUGCUUGCUUUCGAUACGGGCAGACUAGAGGCAUGCAGGGGAGAACGGAAUUCCUGGUGUAGCGGUGAAAUGCGCAGAUAUCAGGAGGAACACCGGUGGCGAAGGCGGUUCUCUGGGCAUGUCCUGACGCUGAGGAGCGAAAGUGUGGGGAGCGAACAGG